rnacentral:rRNA from 1 species
UUAGUGGCGGACGGGUGAGUAACGCGUGGGUGACCUGCCCAUAAGUGGGGAAUAACAGUUGGAAACGACUGCUAAUACCGCAUAAGCUGAGCAAUCAGUAAAGGAGGCUUAACAGCUUCCGCUUAUGGAUGGGCCCGCGUCUGAUUAGCUAGUUGGUGGGAUAAAAGCCUACCAAGGCCACGAUCAGUAGCCGGCCUGAGAGGGUGGACGGCCACACUGGGACUGAGACACGGCCCAGACUCCUACGGGAGGCAGCAGUGGGGAAUAUUGCGCAAUGGGGGAAACCCUGACGCAGCGACGCCGCGUGAGCGAAGAAGGCCUUAGGGUCGUAAAGCUCUGUUUUAAGGGACGAAAAUUCACAGGAGUAACUGUCUGUGAAGUGACGGUACCUUAAGAGAAAGCCCCGGCUAACUACGUGCCAGCAGCCGCGGUAAGACGUAGGGGGCGAGCGUUGUCCGGAAUCAUUGGGCGUAAAGGGCGUGCAGGCGGCCGCCAAAGUCCGGCGUGAAAGACCCAGGCUCAACCUGGGGGGUGCGCCGGAUACUGGGCGGCUUGAGUACAGGAGGGGACGGCGGAAUUCCAGGUGUAGGGGUGAAAUCUGUAGAUAUCUGGAGGAACACCGAUGGCGAAGGCAGCCGUCUGGCCAUGUACUGACGCUGAGGCGCGAAGGUGCGGGGAGCAAACAGGUUUAGAUACCCUGGUAGUCCGCACAGUAAACGAUGUGCACCCGGCGGGCGGGGGGCAACCUCGCUGCCGCAGUUAAACGCAUUAAGUGCACCGCCUGGGGAGUAUGCCCGCAAGGGUGAAACUCAAAGGAAUUGACGGGGGGCCCGCACAAGCGGUGGAGCAUGUGGUUUAAUUCGAUGAUACGCGAGAAACCUUACCAGGGCUUGACAUGCGCCGGGAGCGCGCCGAAAGGCGUGCGCCCCUCGGGGCCGGCGCACAGGUGCUGCAUGGCUGUCGUCAGCUCGUGCUGUGAGAUGUUGGGUUAAGUCCCGCAACGAGCGCAACCCUUAUUGUUAGUUGCCAUCAUUAAGUUGGGCACUCUAGCGAGACUGCCCGGGUUAACCGGGAGGAAGGUGGGGAUGACGUCAAAUCAUCAUGCCCCUUAUGUCUAGGGCUACACACGUGCUACAAUGGUCGGUACAAUAAGACGCAAGCCCGCGAGGGGGAGCAAAACUGGAAAACCGAUCUCAGUUCGGAUUGUAGGCUGAAACUCGCCUACAUGAAGCUGGAGUUGCUAGUAAUCGCGAAUCAGCAUGUCGCGGUGAAUACGUUCCCGGGCCUUGUACACACCGCCCGUCA